GAUGAACGCUGGCGGCAUGCCUAACACAUGCAAGUCGAGCGAACAGUCGAGGUGCUUGCUCCUCUGACGUUAUCGGCGGACGGGUGCGUCCCAUGUGGAUAACCUACCUAUCAGACUGGGAUAACUUCUGCAAAUCGGAGCUAAUACCGGAUAAUAUAUUGCACCGCAUGGUUCACUAGUGAAAGACGGUUUUGCUGUCACUUAUAGCUUGAUCCGCGCCGCAUUAGCUAGUUGGUUAGGUAACUGCUUACCAAGGCAGCGAUGCGUAGCCGACCUAAGAGGGUGGUCGGAUACACUGGAAGAGAGACACGGUCCAGACUCCGACAGUGAGACGCAGCAGAGAAUCUUACGCGAGGGACGAGAGCCGGACGGAGCAACGCGGGAUAAGUGAUGAAGGAAUUAGGAUGGUAAAGCUAUGUUAUUAGGGGAGAAGAAAUGUGUAAGUAACUGUGCACGUAAUGACGGUACCUGAUGAAUAAGCCACGGCUAACUACGUG
rnacentral:rRNA from 1 species